rnacentral:rRNA from 1 species
UCAGUCGACUCCUACGGGGAGGCAGCAGUGGGGAAUAUUGCACAAUGGGGGAAACCCUGAUGCAGCCAUGCCGCGUGCGUGAAGAAGGCCUUCGGGUUGUAAAGCACUUUCAGUAGGGAGGAAGGUAGUGUAGUUAACACCUGCAUUAUUUGACGUUACCUACAGAAGAAGCACCGGCUAACUCCGUGCCAGCAGCCGCGGUAAUACGGAGGGUGCGAGCGUUAAUCGGAAUUACUGGGCGUAAAGCGCAUGCAGGCGGCCUGUUAAGUCAGAUGUGAAAGCCCGGGGCUUAACCUCGGAAUUGCAUUUGAAACUGGCAGGCUAGAGUCUUGUAGAGGGGGGUAGGAAUUUCAGGUGUAGCGGUGAAAUGCGUAGAGAUCUGAAGGAAUACCAGUGGCGAAGGCGGCCCCCUGGACAAAGACUGACGCUCAGAUGCGAAAGCGUGGGGAGCAAACAGGAUUAGAUACCCUGGUAG